rnacentral:rRNA from 1 species
UGAUUACCCGCUGAACUUAAGCAUAUCAAUAAGCGGAGGAAAAGAAACUAACCAGGAUUCCCUUAGUAACGGCGAGUGAAGAGGGAGUAGCCCAGCACCGAAGCCUGCGGCAGAUUUGCUGUUAGGCAAUGUGGUGUUUGGGUCGACUAGCGGGACUGCCACUCCACUCGAAGUCCAGCAUUGAGUAUGGUCACUGGAUUUGGCCCAGAGAGGGUGAGAGGCCCGUACGAGUGGAGGAUGUUGAUACAUGUGGGCAGUUCACCAGGUCGGCCUUAGAGUCGGGGUGUUUGUGAAUGCAGCA